GAUGAACGCUGACAGAAUGCUUAACACAUGCAAGUCGAUGGGGAAGUGGUGCUUGCACCAUGGCAACCAUGGCGGACGGGUGAGUAACGCGUAAGGGACUUACCUGCAGGACUGGGAUAACAGGGGGAAACUCCUGACAAGACCGGAUAAUGUCAUGGAGCUGCAUGGCUUUAUGAUGAAAGGAGACGCCUGCGGAGAGCCUUGCGUCCUAUUAGCUAGUUGGUGAGGUAAUGGCUCACCAAGGCGAAGAUAGGUAGCCGGCCUGAGAGGGUGGACGGCCACAAGGAGACUGAGAUACGGCCCUUACUCCUACGGGAGGCAGCAGUGGGGAAUAUUGGACAAUGGGGGCAACCCUGAUCCAGCAAUUCUGUGUGCACGAAGAAGGUUUUCGGAUUGUAAAGUGCUUGCAGCAGGGAAGAAGUAAGUGACGGUACCUGCAGAAGAAGCGACGGCUAAAUACGUG
rnacentral:rRNA from 1 species